GGUAGCAUGGACGAGCGGUCUAAGGCGCUGGUUUAAGGCACCAGUGAUUUCGAUGGCGUGGGUUCGAAUCCCACUGCUGCCA
rfam:Ciona savignyi cont_32256, whole genome shotgun sequence.